rnacentral:sRNA from 1 species
UUUUCCCAUCUUUUCCCUUGUUUCCGUGACAGAAUACAGUCGCUUUGAAUCGAAGAUACAUGACUUACGAGAACAAAUGAUGAACAGCAGCAUGAGCUCUGGGUCUGGGUCCCUCCGAACAAGUGAAAAGAGGUCCUUGUAUGUCAGGGCCCUGUUUGAUUAUGAUCGGACUCGGGACAGCUGCCUGCCAAGCCAGGGGCUCAGCUUCUCUUAUGGUGACAUUCUGCAUGUCAUUAAUGCCUCUGAUGAUGAGUGGUGGCAGGCAAGGCUGGUGACCCCACACGGAGAAAGUGAGCAGAUCGGUGUGAUCCCCAGUAAGAAGAGGGUGGAAAAGAAAGAAAGAGCUCGAUUGAAAACUGUGAAGUUCCAUGCCAGGACGGGGAUGAUUGAGUCUAACAGGUCGAUCAAAACGAAACGUAAAAAGAGUUUCCGCCUCUCUCGAAAGUUUCCAUUUUACAAGAGCAAAGAAAACAUGGCCCAGGAGAGCAGCAUACAGGAACGACUUCCCGGGGUUAAGUGACGAUUAUUAUGGAGCAAAGAACCUGAAGGGAGUGACAUCCAACACCAGUGACAGCGAAAGCAGUUCCAAAGGACAAGAGGAUGCUAUUUUGUCAUAUGAGCCAGUGACACGGCAAGAAAUUCACUAUGCAAGGCCUGUGAUCAUCCUGGGCCCAAUGAAGGACCGAGUCAAUGAUGACCUGAUCUCCGAAUUUCCACAUAAAUUUGGAUCCUGUGUGCCACAUACUACCCGGCCUCGACGUGAUAAUG